GAUGAACGCUGGCGGCGUGCCUAAUACAUGCAAGUCGAGCGAACAGACGAGGAGCUUGCUCCUCUGACGUUAGCGGCGGACGGGUGAGUAACACGUGGAUAACCUACCUAUAAGACUGGGAUAACUUCGGGAAACCGGAGCUAAUACCGGAUAAUAUAUUUAACCGCAUGGUUCAAUAGUGAAAGACGGUUUUGCUGUCACUUAUAGAUGGAUCCGCGCCGCAUUAGCUAGUUGGUAAGGUAACAGCUUACCAAGGCAACGAUGCGUAGCCGACCUGAGAGGGUGAUCGGCCACACUGGAACUGAGACACGGUCCAGACUCCUACGGGAGGCAGCAGUAGGGAAUCUUCCGCAAUGGGCGAAAGCCUGACGGAGCAACGCCGCGUGAGUGAUGAAGGUCUGCGGAUCGUAAAACUCUGUUAUUAGGGAAGAACAAAUGUGUAAGUAACUAUGCACGUCUUGACGGUACCUAAUCAGAAAGCCACGGCUAACUACGUG
rnacentral:rRNA from 1 species